rnacentral:rRNA from 1 species
ACGCUGGCGGCGUGCUUACACAUGCAAGUCGAGUGCGCGCCUGUAGCAAUACAGGUGGCGCACGGCGCACGGGUGCGUAACACGUGGGCAACCUGCCCUUUGAUGGGGAAUAACCCCGCGAAAGCGGGGCUAAUACCGCAUAAGAUCCGCAAGGAUGAAAGCCGAAAGGCGUCGAAGGAGGGGCCUGCGCCCGAUUAGCUAGUUGGUAGGGUAACGGCCUGCCAAGGCGAUGAUCGGUAGCUGGUCUGAGAGGAUGGCCAGCCACACUGGAACUGAGACACGGUCCAGACUCCUACGGGAGGCAGCAGUGGGGAAUCUUGCACAAUGGGCGAAAGCCUGAUGCAGCGACGCCGCGUGGGGGAUGAAGCAUCUCGGUGUGUAAACCCCUUUCGACCCGGACGAAUACCUCGCAAGAGGGGUGACGGUACGGGUAUAAGAAGCCCCGGCUAACUACGUGCCAGCAGCCGCGGUAAGACGUAGGGGGCCAGCGUUGUUCGGAAUUACUGCGUGUAAAGGGU